rnacentral:rRNA from 1 species
GAUUAACGCUGGCGGCGUGCCUAACACAUGCAAGUCGAGCGGCAGCGCGUUUUACACUGAAUUCUGGACGCUUCUAGUUGAAAGAGAAGAUUUAUUCAAGAAUUUUGUGUAAAAUGUCGGCGAGCGGCGGACGGCUGAGUAACGCGUGGGAACGUACCCCAAAGUGAGGGAUAACGCAUCGAAAGGUGUGCUAAUACCGCAUAUGGUCUUCGGAUUAAAGCCUUCGGGCGCUUUGGGAACGGCCUGCGUAAGAUUAGAUAGUUGGUGGGGUAAUGGCCUACCAAGUCGACGAUCUUUAACUGGUUUGAGAGGAUGAUCAGUCAGACUGGAACUGAGACACGGUCCAGACUCCUACGGGAGGCAGCAGUGAGGAAUCUUCCACAAUGGGCGAAAGCCUGAUGGAGCAACGCCGCGUGCAGGAUGAAGGCCUUCGGGUUGUAAACUGCUUUUAUAAGUGAGGAUUAUGACAGUAACUUAUGAAUAAGGAUCGGCUAACUACGUG